AUUGAAGCUGCUUUAGAUAACUGGCUUUGGCUUGACAUCUCUGGAGGCUUAGCCUCUGUGAUCAGGCUGAAGGGUGGUCUUCAUCCAACCCAAAGCCAUGUUUCUGUGAAUUUUUUAGAACAUACAUUUACUGAUAACUAUUGUCAUCAUCUGCAAUUGUAGUCCGAACAAGUCAUGCUAAGUUGGAAUUUGGAUGACUUUGACAGAAUGUCUAAAAGUCUUCCAUCGUUUAACUGGUCUCAUACCGGGAAAUCUCUUGAAGGGCUGAAUUUUGAUCCGAUGAAUAUAAAGGGUGUUCCUCGGACGAUAGCCCUUUCGCAGAUAUGGAAUACUCGGAUGCUGCAAGGCCGGUCCUAUCUUUUUCAUUGAUUGAUUGUUAAGUGCGUGCAGGGCAGUGCUUGAAGGAGUCUUCUCGUAAACUAUAUUCUGGUUGUUAGAGUUUGUUAGAAUAAAUAACAAACUAGAAGGGAGAGUCCUAGUUUUACAGGGCAUUGCAAAUUACAGUUAGCAACCUCUCUGUUAGAGUUUGUUACUUUUCUGAUAUUCUGGUAUCAUGUAUUAGAGGCUAUAUAAAGCCAAGAGCUCUUGCUGAAUAAUACAAUUUCCAUUCAUCCCAGUUCACGUAUACUUCUUCAAUCAUCCAUAAUCCUAACAAAUUAGUAUCAGAGCCUCCACUAGGCCUGAAAUUCAAAGCAGCAGACUUUGAAAUCCUUUGCAGCAGCAUAGCAAGAUGACUACAGAGGGAAGUUUUGUCCAGCCAACUAUUCCAAGAUUCAAUGGUCAUUAUGACCAUUGGAGCAUGUUAAUGGAAAAUUUCCUUCGAUCCAAGGAAAUGUGGGAACUGGUGGAGAUUGGAUAUACUGAGGCAAGUGGAUCAAUGCAAACUGAUGGACAACAAAAGAAGAACGAUGAGAUGAAGCUGAAAGAUUUGAAAGUAAAAAAUUAUCUCUUUCAGAUAAUUGAUCGAACAGUUCUUGAUACUAUUCUCAAGAAAGAUACUGCCAAAAAUAUAUGGGAUGCAAUGAAGAAGAAAUUCGAAGGAAAUGCAAGGGUUAAGAGAUCUCACCUUCAAGCUCUCCGCAGAGAGUUUGAAACACUUGAAAUGAGGUCUGGUGAAGGAGUGACAGAGUAUUUCUCUAGAGUCAUGACAGUGGCCAAUAAAAUGAGAAUUUAUGGAGAAACAUGCAGGAUGUUAAAGUAGUGGAGAAGAUUUUACGUUCGUUGACUGAGAAAUUCAACUAUGUUGUAUGUUCUAUUGAAGAGUCAAAGGACAUUGAUGCUCUCACUGUUGAUGAAUUACAGAGUUCAUUAAUCGUCCAUGAGCAGAAAUUUGUGAGACAUAAGAGUGAGGAACAAGCUCUGAAGGUAACAUAUGAAGGAGGUAGAGGUCGUGGUCGAAUUUCCUAUCAAGGAAGAGGAAGAGGCAGAGGACGAACAGACUUCAAUAAAGCAACAAUUCAAUGUUACAGAUGUCAUUGACUUGGACAUUUCCAAUAUGAAUGUCCCACUGUGAACAAAGAAUCAUUUUAUGCAGAGCUUGAUGAGGAGGAGGAAAUGCUUUUGAUGGCUUAUGUGGAGAAACAUCAAGCCAGAAGAGAAGAUGCAUGGUUUCUUGAUUCAGGAUGUUCUAACCACAUGUGUGGUUAUAAAGCCAUGUUCAGUGAUCUCAACUUAGAAUUUCGACAUUCUGUGAAGUUGGGGAAUAACACAAGGAUGAAUGUAAUGGGUAAAGGAAGUGUGAAGAUACUGCUGACUGGAAUCAAUCAUGUUAUUGCUGAAGUAUAUUAUGUCCCCGAUUUGAGAAAUAACCUCCUGAGCAUAGGCCAGUUGCAAGAAAGAGGGUUAGAUAUCUUAUUCAAAGGUGGAACCUGCAAGAUAUUCCAUCCAAAAAGGGGAUUAAUAAUUCAAACCACCAUAAGCAUAAAUCGGAUGUUCAUUUUGUUGCCUGAUUCCCAAUCUUCUUCUCAAGAACAAGCUGAUCAAUGCUUCCACACAGGAACACAAAAUUUGUGCCAUCUUUGGCAUCAAAGGUAUGGACAUUUGAGUUACAAAGGCUUAAGAACUCUAUCAUACAGGAACAUGGUGCGUGGUCUUCCUCAACUAUCAACCUCAAAUGUCACCUGCACUGAUUGCUUAAAAGGGAAGCAACACCGUGAUCCCAUUCCAAAGAAAAGCACCUGGAGAGCAUCUCAGAAACUGGAACUCAUUCAUGCUAAUAUCUGUGGGCCGAUCACCCCUACAUCCAACAGCAACAAGAGGUAUAUUCUGCUAUUUACAGAUGACUAUAGUAGGAAAACCUGGGUAUAUUUUCUGGUAGAGAAGUCAGAGGCCUUCAGUUCAUUUAAAAGCUUUAAGUCCAUGGCUGAAAAACAAACAGGUUUGUUUGUUAAAUGUCUUCGCACUGACAGAGGAGGAGAAUUCAUUUCCAAUGAAUUCAACGAAUUUUGCAAACACAAUGGGAUUAAGAGGCAGAUGACAACUGCCUAUACCCCGCAACAAAACGGUAUAGCGGAGAGGAAGAACAGAACCGUAAUGAACAUGGUUCGAUCCAUGUUAUCUGACAAAAACAUUCCCAAAACCUUCUGGGCAGAGGCUGUAAACUGGGCUGUUUAUGUUCUUAACAGGUGCCCCACGUUGGCAGUAAGGGAUGUUACACCAAAGGAAGCUUGGAGUGAGAUGAAACCCUCGGUAGCAGUAAGGGAUGUUACACCAGAGGAAGCUUGGAGUGAGAUGAAACCCUCAGUAGAUCAUUUUAGGGUUUUUGGUUGCAUAGCACACGUUCAUGUUCCAGAAGAGAGAAGAACAAAGCUUGACAACAGAAGCAUUACUUGCGUAUUAUUGGGGGUUAGUGAGGAGUCAAAAGGUUACAGACUCUUUGAUCCUGUUGCAAAGAAAAUUAUCGUGAGUAGAGACGUAAUUUUUGAAGAAGAAAAGUUGUGGAAAUGGGGUGAGAGCUGUGACCAACAAUCAGUGGAAAAUUUAGACUGGGGUGAUGAGGAUGAAGAAAGGGCGAGGGAAAAUAGAAACAGAGGAGAUGGUAUUGAUGAUGCAGAACAACCUGGUGGAAAUAAUUGCAGAGAAGGUUGCAGAGAGGGUGAUGAAGAAGCCUGUGAUACGGGAGUUGAAACAAUUAAUUACAGAGAGGGUGACGAGAGAGUGAGGGACAGUGAAAUCAUGCAACUUGAAGAAAGAAGCUCAAGACAAUUACGUGGUAGGCAGCCUCCCACGUGGAUGGGAGAUUAUGUCAGUGGUGAAGGGCUGUAUGAGGAUGAAACAAAUAUGGCACUUGAGGUGUCAACAGAUCCCUCGGUUUAUGAAGAAGCUGUGAAGAGUACAGAUUGGAGGAUGGCUAUGAACAGUGAAAUUGAAUCUAUUGAGAAGAAUAAAACGUGGACACUCACUGAAUUACCAGCGGGAACAAAAAAAAUAGGGGUGAAGUGGGUUUAUAAAACCAAAUACGAUGAGAAUGGGAAAAUCGAUAAAUACAAGGCUCGGUUGGUGGUAAAAGGGUAUUCUCAAAAAUAUGGUGUAGAUUAUACAGAAGUGUUUGCCCCAGUAGCAAGAAUGGAUACAGUACGAAUGAUUAUCGCCUUGGCUGCGCACAAAAAUUGGAUGAUUUCUCAGCUGGAUGUCAAAUCGGCUUUCCUUCAUGGCGAGUUAAGUGAAGAUGUUUAUGUAGAGCAACCAAGAGGAAAUGAAAAGAAAAGGAGCGAGCAUCUGGUUUACAAACUGCACAAAGCACUGUAUGGUUUGAAACAAGCUCCACGAGCUUGGUUUAGUCGAAUUGAAGCACAUUUCAUUGGCGAAGGAUUUCAGAGAUGCGAAAGUGAGCAGACCUUAUUUACAAGAAGAACCCAAGAAGGAAGAAUCAUCAUUGUGAGUAUCUAUGUGAAUGACUUAAUCUUUACUGGAAAUGAUGAGGUAAUGUUAUCUGAUUUUAAAAACUCUAUGGUAAGGGAGUUUGAUAUGACUGACUUGGGAAAAAUAAGGUUUUUCCUUGGAAUUGAGGUGUUACAAAAGUCUGAUGGCAUUUAUAUAUGUCAAAGGAAGUAUGCUUUGGAGGUUUUGAGAAGAUUUGGUAUGAUGGAAAGUAAUUCGGUAGGAAGUCCAAUAGUUCCAGGAUUCAAGAUAAGCAUAAAUGAAGAUGGAAAUAUUGUUGAUGAAACCUACUACAAACAGUUAGUGGGUAGCUUAAUGUAUCUUACUGCUACAAGACCCGACAUGAUGUUCGUUAUUUGCCUCAUAAGUAGAUACAUGACGAGACCUAUGGAGAUUCAUCUACAAGCAGCUAAGAGAGCUCUUCGAUAUCUAAAAGGAACUGUGAACUAUGGGAUUCAUUAUAAAAGGGGGGGGAAGGAGAGUUGUUAGCAUUCACGGAUAGUGAUUAUGCUGGCGAUAUGGAAGACAGGAAAAGCACAUCUGGUAAUGUUUUUCUGAUGGGUUCAAGUGUUGUCUCAUGGUGUUCGAAGAAACAGCCUAUUGUGACUUUGUCAACAACGGAAGCUGAAUUCGUGGCAGCAGCAGUAUGUGCCUGUCAAGGAGUAUGGAUGAAGAGAAUUUUAAAGGAACUGGGACACUCAGAUGAAGGUUGUACAACCAUAAUGUGCGACAAUAGUUCAACUAUUAAGUUGUCUAAAAAUCCCGUAAUGCAUGGUCGCAGUAAGCAUAUUGAUGUGAGGUUUCAUUUCUUAAGAAACCUUACUAAGGAGGGUACAGUUGAGUUAAUUCAUUGUGGGAGUCAGGAUCAAAUCGCAGAUAUAAUGACCAAGCCAUUAAAGCUUGAAGUGUUUCAAAAGCUUCGGAAGUUACUCGGAGUAUGUGAAAUACUACCAUAAUAUAAACUAACUGCUUCAUAAGCAUUUAGUUUAAGGGAUGGAAUGAAGGAGUCUUCUCGUAAACCAUAUUCUGGUUGUUAGAGUCUGUUAGAAUAAAUAACAAACUAGAAGGGAAAGUCCUAGUUUUACAGGGCAUUGCAAAUUACAGUUAGCAACCUCUCUGUUAGAGUUUGUUACUUUUUUGUUAUUCUGGUAUCAUGUAUUAGAGGCUAUAUAAAGCCAAGAGUUCUUGCUGAAUAAUACAAUUUCCAUUCAUCCCAGUUCACGUAUACUUCUUC
rnacentral:lncRNA from 1 species